rnacentral:rRNA from 1 species
AAAUUGAAGAGUUUGAUCAUGGCUCAGAUUGAACGCUGGCGGCAGGCCUAACACAUGCAAGUCGAACGGUAACAGGAAACAGCUUGCUGUUUCGCUGACGAGUGGCGGACGGGUGAGUAAUGUCUGGGAAACUGCCUGAUGGAGGGGGAUAACUACUGGAAACGGUAGCUAAUACCGCAUAACGUCGCAAGACCAAAGAGGGGGACCUUCGGGCCUCUUGCCAUCGGAUGUGCCCAGAUGGGAUUAGCUAGUAGGUGGGGUAACGGCUCACCUAGGCGACGAUCCCUAGCUGGUCUGAGAGGAUGACCAGCCACACUGGAACUGAGACACGGUCCAGACUCCUACGGGAGGCAGCAGUGGGGAAUAUUGCACAAUGGGCGCAAGCCUGAUGCAGCCAUGCCGCGUGUAUGAAGAAGGCCUUAGGGUUGUAAAGUACUUUCAGCGGGGAGGAAGGGAGUAAAGUUAAUACCUUUGCUCAUUGACGUUACCCGCAGAAGAAGCACCGGCUAACUCCGUGCCAGCAGCCGCGGUAAUACGGAGGGUGCAAGCGUUAAUCGGAAUUACUGGGCGUAAAGCGCACGCAGGCGGUUUGUUAAGUCAGAUGUGAAAUCCCCGGGCUCAACCUGGGAACUGCAUCUGAUACUGGCAAGCUUGAGUCUCGUAGAGGGGGGUAGAAUUCCAGGUGUAGCGGUGAAAUGCGUAGAGAUCUGGAGGAAUACCGGUGGCGAAGGCGGCCCCCUGGACGAAGACUGACGCUCAGGUGCGAAAGCGUGGGGAGCAAACAGGAUUAGAUACCCUGGUAGUCCACGCCGUAAACGAUGUCGACUUGGAGGUUGUGCCCUUGAGGCGUGGCUUCCGGAGCUAACGCGUUAAGUCGACCGCCUGGGGAGUACGGCCGCAAGGUUAAAACUCAAAUGAAUUGACGGGGGCCCGCACAAGCGGUGGAGCAUGUGGUUUAAUUCGAUGCAACGCGAAGAACCUUACCUGGUCUUGACAUCCACGGAAGUUUUCAGAGAUGAGAAUGUGCCUUCGGGAACCGUGAGACAGGUGCUGCAUGGCUGUCGUCAGCUCGUGUUGUGAAAUGUUGGGUUAAGUCCCGCAACGAGCGCAACCCUUAUCCUUUGUUGCCAGCGGUCCGGCCGGGAACUCAAAGGAGACUGCCAGUGAUAAACUGGAGGAAGGUGGGGAUGACGUCAAGUCAUCAUGGCCCUUACGACCAGGGCUACACACGUGCUACAAUGGCGCAUACAAAGAGAAGCGACCUCGCGAGAGCAAGCGGACCUCAUAAAGUGCGUCGUAGUCCGGAUUGGAGUCUGCAACUCGACUCCAUGAAGUCGGAAUCGCUAGUAAUCGUGGAUCAGAAUGCCACGGUGAAUACGUUCCCGGGCCUUGUACACACCGCCCGUCACACCAUGGGAGUGGGUUGCAAAAGAAGUAGGUAGCUUAACCUUCGGGAGGGCGCUUACCACUUUGUGAUUCAUGACUGGGGUGAAGUCGUAACAAGGUAACCGUAGGGGAACCUGCGGUUGGAUCACCUCCUUACCUUAAAGAA